UUUCUUUCACAUGUUUUUUUAUGUUUUUUUGUUGUUAUUUUUUUCAUUUGUAGAAUCUGUGUUUCCUUUUUGAUUUGAUGGUGGAUUUGUGUAGUGACUUGUGUUUUAUGGUUAUAAAAAUUUGUGUGUUAAAAAAUUUCUCCCGAUUUUUCUUUGGUUUAUUUGGUUCUCUACUAUCUCUUGGAUAUGAUUUUUUUUUUUCAAUUUGUGUUUUAGCAAAACCUUUACUCAUGCAUAUGUUUGUGGAUUGAAGAAAUUCUCAUUUUGUGUUUCAAAUUAUUCUUUCUUUAUAAUCUAUGAAUCACAUGAUUUUAGUAACCUUGACUUUUUCCGGAUAAGCUUUAGCUUUAUGUUGGCG
rnacentral:lncRNA from 1 species